rnacentral:lncRNA from 1 species
GAGUGUCUUCUGCCCUGCUUGGGCUUCUACUCCAGCACUAGGAAGACUCCUACUUUGCUAUCUUUCUCUUGACAUUUCUUCUUUUCUGCAUCUCCUGAUUGACUGUCCCUUCUACCCAGAAAUGUCACAUUGGAUGACUUACUAAUUAUUGUGGUUCUUUGGCUGAUGUUUGCUUUACCACUACUUGCCUUACUUGUGAACUCUGCAGAGUCUCACCCUGAG